GGCUGGUUAGCUCAGUGGUUUGAGCGCGGUGCUGACAACAACGACGACACAAAGGUCGCGGGUUCGAUUCCCGCUCGGUCCU
rnacentral:tRNA from 1 species